rnacentral:rRNA from 1 species
CUACGGGGGGCUCCAGUGGGGAAUAUUGCACAAUGGGCGCAAGCCUGAUGCAGCCAUGCCGCGUGUAUGAAGAAGGCCUUCGGGUUGUAAAGUACUUUCAGCGGGGAGGAAGGGAGUAAAGUUAAUACCUUUGCUCAUUGACGUUACCCGCAGAAGAAGCACCGGCUAACUCCGUGCCAGCAGCCGCGGUAAUACGGAGGGUGCAAGCGUAAUCGGAAUUACUGGGCGUAAAGCGCACGCAGGCGGUUUGUUAAGUCAGAUGUGAAAUCCCCGGGCUCAACCUGGGAACUGCAUCUGAUACUGGCAAGCUUGAGUCUCGUAGAGGGGGGUAGAAUUCCAGGUGUAGCGGUGAGAUGCGUAGAGAUCUGGAGGAAUACCGGUGGCGAAGGCGGCCCCCUGGACGAAGACUGACGCUCAGGUGCGAAAGCGUGGGGAGCAAACAGGAUUAGAUACCCGAGUAGUC